CUGCGUUAAUUGCCGAUUUCAUUGGUGUUUUAUUUGGCAAAAAAAUGCGAUUUUUAAAGAUGUGUCGAGAUCUCUUUCGCCUAAAUGUCAAAUUACAGCGCGUGAAUUCAUAUUUCAAAGUAAAUGGUGAUAAUGUACAAGAUUGCUGGAAAAAUUUAAAUGAAUCCGAUAAGAAAUUAUUUUCGUUUGAUGUAAAUGACAUUGUGUGGGAUGAGUACGCCGCAGUGGCUUUUGAUUCCAUUCGAAAGUAUCUUAGUGCGCAUAUUGAAACACAUGAAAAAAUUCGAUUAGCAGUAUUUUGGGUACCUAAAAUACGAUUUGCAUUCAAAGCAUUGUACUGUGUCUUGGGAGUGUAUUGUAUUCGUUUCAUUUACACGUGGUUGGUUUAGUAAUAAUUACAAACGGAAGCAGCAAAUUUAAAAUACCUAGAAAUACGUAUUUACUCAUUAAUUCUUGUUGCUAAUUUAAGUUCCCAAAUUUUAAGCAUGUAGGUAUUUUAUAAAAUGCACAAUUAUGAACAUUGAACUAACGAGUGGAUAUUAUUGUAAAUUUUUAAUUUGAAACAUUUACCCAUAGACUAUCUUGAUUGAGGAAGUUACAAGGGAUAAAUAGCGCUACCUAUAUUGAAGAAUUUUUCAAAAAGCUCAAUUUUGAGACAAUCCCCCCCCCACACGCUGCCGUUUGUUGUAAUGAAUUUCGCAAACCAAAUAAUCCCCCGAGCAACCCAUUUCCUACUCAUUUACUCGAAUCUGAUGCUUAUAAAUGCACUUUUUUGCCCUCAACAUUGAAUCUCAGCCUUGUCAGUGAAUUCAAAGCUAGGUAGUUUCCAAGCGAACGAAGAAUGAGCUGUGGUUUGCGGGAAUGAAUUCGUCGUCCCAAAAACCCCCGUUGGACAGCAAUCUGGAAUUUCAAUUCGCAAACUCACGCCCACCUUUCAUUUCAUACACACUAGUGUGCAGUUUCAGGAGGGGUGGCGCGAGUUCCCACAAUGCACGCAAGCAGCAACGAUUUUGGACUAAUUUUGGGUCACUGAUUUCGAAUUUGCCGUUUUAAACAUGGUGCAUUUUACAAGUGAUUUAUCCGAAAUUACACGAGUAGGUAGUAGGUCUAGGUACCUAUAUAU